AUGGUGACAAGGAUCAUGGAGGAGCUCCUCUCCUGCUACAGAGCAGCUGCUGCACCACCCAUUCUGCUGCAGUCUCAUCACUGGUUGCAAAGCUGGACACCAUUCACCCACCAGGUCCUUGAGUGGUGGAUUCAGCAUUUGACCCUUUGUUCAGCCCAGAGCUGUGUUGGAUGGAAGUAGUGUGGGAUUCUCUACCAUGAGUUCCUCUUCCCCACCAGGCGACUUCUGAAUUCUCUUUGCUACCCCUCCUUUGGGUACCAGCCUGCUCCAUCUAUUGCUCCCUAUAGGCGAUGGAAGAAAGAUGCCCAGCAAACUUGCAGGGCGAUGGGGUUUCAGCAGCAGAAGGGAAAGUAGAAUGCAU
rnacentral:lncRNA from 1 species